CCUCUUUCAUUUGCCGCCAUGAAUGCCUAUAUCAGGGGUGCUGGUUCGCCAGCUAUGGCAAUAAACUGUCAGUGCAAUAAACCUAUCGGACCCGGGGGCGGUACCCGGCGCCUCCACCCAAGCCCACUGAUUUUCCCUUUUCAAAACAGUGGGUUUCGGCGGGGGCGAAAUAGGAUCGACGAGGGCGUAAAGACUGUGCUUUUGCUCGGCAUUGUACCACCGUUAUCGGGCUUUCUUAAUAGUUGCAAACGACAACUAUGCUAUGGACAACGCUGUCGCUGCGUAAUGCAGUUCCGGUAGUCCACUAAGUCCCGUUGGUUAGCACCUUCAGGCGGGGUUCGGAGGCACCUGGCAACAGAAGCCUCCACU
rnacentral:tmRNA from 1 species